rnacentral:rRNA from 1 species
GGAAACAACCCAGACCGCCAGCUAAGGUCCCAAAGUUGUGGUUAAGUGGUAAACGAUGUGGGAAGGCUUAGACAGCUAGGAGGUUGGCUUAGAAGCAGCCACCCUUUAAAGAAAGCGUAAUAGCUCACUAGUCGAGUCGGCCUGCGCGGAAGAUGUAACGGGGCUCAAACCACACACCGAAGCUGCGGGUGUCACGUAAGUGACGCGGUAGAGGAGCGUUCUGUAAGCCUGUGAAGGUGAGUUGAGAAGCUUGCUGGAGGUAUCAGAAGUGCGAAUGCUGACAUGAGUAACGACAAUGGGUGUGAAAAACACCCACGCCGAAAGACCAAGGGUUCCUGCGCAACGUUAAUCGACGCAGGGUUAGUCGGUUCCUAAGGCGAGGCUGAAAAGCGUAGUCGAUGGGAAACAGGUUAAUAUUCCUGUACUUCUGGUUACUGCGAUGGAGGGACGGAGAAGGCUAGGCCAGCUUGGCGUUGGUUGUCCAAGUUUAAGGUGGUAGGCUGAAAUCUUAGGUAAAUCCGGGGUUUCAAGGCCGAGAGCUGAUGACGAGUCGUCUUUUAGAUGACGAAGUGGUUGAUGCCAUGCUUCCAAGAAAAGCUUCUAAGCUUCAGGUAACCAGGAACCGUACCCCAAACCGACACAGGUGGUCGGGUAGAGAAUACCAAGGCGCUUGAGAGAACUCGGGUGAAGGAACUAGGCAAAAUGGCACCGUAACUUCGGGAGAAGGUGCGCCGGCUAGGGUGAAGGAUUUACUCCGUAAGCUCUGGCUGGUCGAAGAUACCAGGCCGCUGCGACUGUUUAUUAAAAACACAGCACUCUGCAAACACGAAAGUGGACGUAUAGGGUGUGACGCCUGCCCGGUGC